AACAGCAAACAAGAGGCCGUCUACCACGGGGUUCCGUUCAUCGCUUUGCCCGUCUUUGCCGACCAGCCCAUCAACGCCCAAAAGGCCCACGACGACGGGUACGCCGUACGCCAUUCGACUCGUUUGGGACCAUUUGACGGAAGAAAUUCUUUUCGGCGACAUCUAAGGUUUGGUGUUGGUCAAUGAAUUAUUAGUUUACGAGUAAUAUCUCCAUGUAUGACUCUAUGUGCUGAAUGUUUUCAAAAAGGAAAUCAUGAAGGUCAUGAUUUCAACAUGUUCAGGUCACAGGUUGGAGGUGCAUGUGAUUGUGGUGAUACUAGUGUCAUGAAAGAAGCUGGUUUUUGUGAACGUCAUCAUGGUCCCCAUGCUCAUGUAGGGAAACCCAUUCUGCCACCUGAACUGCUUGCUAUUUCUCAAGCUGUAAUGCCACUAAUUAUUUUACAAUUGCUUCAACAUUUGAGAUCACACAGUAUAACAGACAUUUUGGAAGAUCAACUCCAAUCUGUUCAAGAUGCAGACUGUUUCAUCACUAUGUUGCAUGACUAUAUAGUGGAAUGGGAGCAGCUAUGAGACAUGUCAUGACAUCAGCACUAAUUAGCCCACAACUUUAUGCUCACCUAACUGAAGUCCCUUCAGGUGAUUCAGAAUAUGCUCAGUUUAUGAAAGAGGCACAAAGGAUGUAUGAAAAGUCUCUAGAAAGUCUUCCAGGUCCUGAACCACCAGAUGAAUAUAAAGGUAUAACAACCAAAAAUAAAAAUGUUUACAUGGAAUUUUAUUCGGUUUAUUAUUAUCAUCAUCGGUUAUACAUACUACUGAAAUUUUACUCAGAAAUUACUCAGAAAUUUUAAUUCUGACUUGUUGAAACAUGUUGGGUCUUGUAUUUGUUAUAACAUAACAUUAGGUAAUAAUAAUAUACGUUCAUAUGAAUCUUAAUUGAUUAAAGGAGGGUGAUUUUAAUCCAAUUUUAAUAACUGCUAAUAAUGCGCAACGUUUGUCUAGGAGAUUGUUAAAUUUUUUUAGAGUGGAGGUUUGUAGAGGUUUCG